rnacentral:rRNA from 1 species
UCAGGACGAACGCUGGCGGCGUGCUUAACACAUGCAAGUGGAGCGACGAACCAGGGCUUGCCCUGGGGCAAAGCCGCGAACGGGUGAGUAACACGUGGGUAACCUGCCCCGAAGACCGGGACAACCCGAGGAAACUCGGGCUAAUACCGGAUGUGAUCGCUCUUCACAGGAAGAACGAACAAAGGGAGCUUCGGCCCCCGCUUCGGGAUGGGCCCGCGGCCCAUUAGCUUGUUGGUGAGGUAACGGCUCACCAAGGCUUCGAUGGGUAGCUGGUCUGAGAGGACGAUCAGCCACACUGGGACUGAGACACGGCCCAGACUCCUACGGGAGGCAGCAGUGGGGAAUCUUGCGCAAUGGGCGACAGCCUGACGCAGCAACGCCGCGUGAGGGAAGAAGGCUUUCGGGUCGUAAACCUCUUUCAGGAGGGACGAAGCUUCGGGGGUGAAUAGCUCUCCGGAGUGACGGUACCUCCACAAGAAGCCCCGGCUAACUACGUGCCAGCAGCCGCGGUAAUACAGAGGUCCCGAGCGUUGUUUGGAUUCACUGGGCGUAAAGGGUGCGUAGGUGGCCUGGUAAGUUUGAUGUGAAAGCUCAGGGCUUAACCCUGAAAUGGCAUUGAAUACUACUGUGCUGGAGGUUUGGAGGGGGGACUGGAAUUCUCGGUGUAGCAGUGAAAUGCGUAGAUAUCGAGAGGAACACCAGUGGCGAAGGCGAGUCCCUGGACAACACCUGACACUGAGGCACGAAAGCCGGGGGAGCAAACAGGAUUAGAUACCCUGGUAGUCCCGGCCCUAAACGGUGCACGUUUGCUGUAAGAGGAAUCGACCCCUUUUGUGGCGAAGCUAACGCGAUAAACGUGCCGCCUGGGGAGUACGGUCGCAAGAUUAAAACUCAAAGAAAUUGACGGGGGCCUGCACAAGCGGUGGAGUAUGUGGCUUAAUUCGAUGCAACGCGAAGAACCUUACCUGGCCUUGACAUGCAUUUGGUAGAACCAUGAAAGUGGGACGACCCCGCAAGGGGAGGAUGCACAGGUGCUGCAUGGCUGUCGUCAGCUCGUGUCGUGAGAUGUUGGGUUAAGUCCCGCAACGAGCGCAACCCUUAUGUCCUGUUGCCACUCCUACGAGAGUAGGGAGCACUCUGGACAGACUGCCUCGCUUAAACGGGGAGGAAGGUGGGGAUGACGUCAAGUCAGUAUGGCCCUUACGGCCAGGGCUGCACACGUACUACAAUGCCCGGUACAAAGGGAAGCAAGACCGUCAGGUGGAGCAAAUCCCACAAAACCGGGCCCAGUUCAGAUUGUCGUCCGCAACUCGACGGCAUGAAGUUGGAAUCGCUAGUAAUGGCGCAUCAGCUACGGCGCCGUGAUAUAAACCCAGGCGUUUACACACCGCCCGUCAGGCGAUUCG